rnacentral:rRNA from 1 species
UAGAGUUUGAUCCUGGCUCAGGAUGAACGCUAGCGGCAGGCCUAACACAUGCAAGUCGAGGGGUAACAGAGAGAGCUUGCUCUUUGCUGACGACCGGCGCACGGGUGCGUAACGCGUAUACAAUCUGCCUAUCACUGAGGGAUAGCCCGAAGAAAUUUGGAUUAAUACCUCAUAGUAUUAUAGAAUCGCAUGGUUUUAUAAUUAAAGGUUACGGUGAUAGAUGAGUAUGCGUCCUAUUAGCUAGAUGGAGAGGUAAAGGCUCCCCAUGGCUACGAUAGGUAGGGGUCCUGAGAGGGAGAUCCCCCACACUGGUACUGAGACACGGACCAGACUCCUACGGGAGGCAGCAGUGAGGAAUAUUGGACAAUGGGCGCAAGCCUGAUCCAGCCAUGCCGCGUGUAGGAAGACGGCCCUAUGGGUUGUAAACUACUUUUAUACGGGAAGAAACCUAUCCUCGUGAGGGUAGCUGACGGUACCGUAAGAAUAAGCACCGGCUAACUCCGUGCCAGCAGCCGCGGUAAUACGGAGGGUGCAAGCGUUAUCCGGAAUCAUUGGGUUUAAAGGGUCCGUAGGCGGGCUAAUAAGUCAGUGGUGAAAUGCAGGGGCUCAACUCCGGCACUGCCAUUGAUACUGUUAGUCUUGAAUUAUUGUGAAGUGGUUAGAAUAUGUAGUGUAGCGGUGAAAUGCUUAGAUAUUACAUAGAAUACCGAUUGCGAAGGCAGAUCACUAACAAUAUAUGAACGCUGAUGGACGAAAGCGUGGGUAGCGAACAGGAUUAGAUACCCUGGUAGUCCACGCCGUAAACGAUGGUUACUAGCUGUUUGGACGAAUUGACGUCUGAGUGGCCAAGCGAAAGUGAUAAGUAACCCACCUGGGGAGUACGUUCGCAAGAAUGAAACUCAAAGGAAUUGACGGGGGCCCGCACAAGCGGUGGAGCAUGUGGUUUAAUUCGAUGAUACGCGAGGAACCUUACCAGGGCUUAAAUGUAGUAUGACAGAUUUGGAAACAGAUUUUUCUUCGGACAUAUUACAAGGUGCUGCAUGGUUGCCGUCAGCUCGUGCCGUGAGGUGUCAGGUUAAGUCCUAUAACGAGCGCAACCCCUAUUGCUAGUUGCCAGCGAGUCAGGUCGGGGACUCUAGCGAGACUGCCGGUGCAAACCGUGAGGAAGGUGGGGAUGACGUCAAAUCAUCACGGCCCUUACGUCCUGGGCCACACACGUGCUACAAUGGUAGGGACAGAGAGCAGCCACCACGCGAGUGGGAGCGAAUCUAUAAACCCUAUCACAGUUCGGAUCGUAGUCUGCAACUCGACUACGUGAAGCUGGAAUCGCUAGUAAUCGCAUAUCAGCCAUGAUGCGGUGAAUACGUUCCCGGGCCUUGUACACACCGCCCGUCA